AUGGGGGGGGUUUAUUAUGGGGGGCGGUUACAUGGGGGGGGUUUAAUCAUGGCGGGGUUAAUGAUGGGGGUUAAAUUGGUGGGGGAUCUCUCUCUGUGCUAUGGGGUGAUAUGGGGCACUUAUGGGGCGCUAUGGGGUGAUAUGGGGCCGCUAUGGGGUGCUUAUGGGGCCGCUAUGGGGUUCUAUAGGUCACUUAUGGGGCACUAUGGGGCACUUAUGGGGUGCUAUGGGGGCACUUAUGGGGCACCAUGGGGCACUUAUGAGGCUGCUAUGGGGUAAUAUGGGGCACUAUGGGGCACUUAUGGGUCACUUAUGGGAACUUAUGGGGCGCUAUGGGGUUCUAUAGGUCACUUAUGGUGCACUAUAGGGCACUUAUGGGGCGCUAUGGGGCACUUAUGGGGCCCUAUGGGGUGAUAUGGGGACCUAUGGGGUGCUAUGGGGUGCAAUAGGUCACUUAUGGGGUUCUAUAGGUCAGUUAUGGGGCGCUAUGGGGCACUAUAGGUCACUUACGGGGCCCUAUGGGGCACUUAUGGGGCACUAUGGGGUGAUAUGGGGCAAUAUGGGGCGCUAUGGGGUUCUAUAGGGCACUUAUGGGGCACUAUAGGUCACUUAUGGGGCGGUAUGGGGUUCUAUAGGUCACUUAUGGGGCGCUAUGGGGCACUUAUGGGGCCCUAUGGGGUUCUAUAGGUCACUUAUAGGGCCCUAUGGGGCGCUAUGGGGUUCUAAUGAUCACUUAUGGGGCCCUAUGGGGUUCUAUAGGUCACUUAUGGGGUGCUAUAGGGCACUUAUGGGUCACUUAUGGGGCGCUAUGGGGUUCUAAUGGUCACUUAUGGGGCCCUAUGGGGUUCUAUAGAGCACUUAUGGGGUUCUAUGGGUCACUUAUGGGGCGCGUUCCCAUCAUGCCCCGCGCUCACCCAUACACGUGCUGAACGUGCACAGGCCGGACAUGACGUCAUCAUGCGCCGCCAACCAUAGAGAGGAACUGAAAGCCGGAAACCGGAAGUGGAAGAAACCGGAACACUCGGCUACUUCCGGCAGCACUCGGCUACUUCCGGCAGCGCUCGGCUACUUUCGGCAGCGCUCGGCUACUUCCGGCAGCGCUCGUAACUGCCGCAGAGCUCGAGCACUUCCGGUAAUGCUCGGCUAUUUCCGGCAGUGCUCGGGUAUUUCCGGCAGCGCUCGGCUAUUUCCGGCAGCGCUCGGGUAUUUCCGGCCGUUCCUCACAGUAUUAAGAUUUGGGGUCGGUAAAAUAGCGAUUUUUAACCUUUUUCGAUCGGGAUUUGAGCCGAAAAAAGUGAAUUUGAAGGCAGAAAUGCGGCUGUGAGGCCUCAACGAGAGAAUUUGAGUGGAAAAAAUGAGGUUUUUGGGCCAAAAAUGUGAAGAUUUGGGUAUGAUGUGCAGCAAGCUGUGAAAAUUAAAGAGUUUGGACCCAAAAAGGAGAUUUUUAACCUCAAAAUGGGGCACUGUGCCCUAAAAUGGGGGUGGAACCUACAAUGAAAACCUACAAACCCCAUUUAUACCCAGAAACCCCAAAAACACCCCAAUUCUGCCAUAAAUGGGCUCCAUUUAUUGCCUUUGGGACUCGAGAUCCUUUGAGAGGUUCUAGGUCAUCCAACGGUGUUUUGGGGCAAAAAAGAGGGAUUUAGGUUCAAAAGUGACACUUUGGACCCCAAAAUGAAGACCCACAACCCCCAUAACCCCAAAAACACCCCAAUUUGUGCCAUAAAUGGGCUCCACUUAUUGCCUUUGGGACUCGAGAGCCUUUGAGAGGUUCUAGGUCAUCCAACGCUGUUUUGGGCCAAAAAAAGAGGGAUUUGGGUUCAAAAGUGACACUUUGGACCCCAAAAUGAAGACCCACAACCCCAAAAACCCCAAAACCACCCCAAUUUGUGCCAUAAAUGGGCUCCAUUUAUUGCCUUUGGGACUCAAAAGCCUUUGAGAGGUUCUAGGUCCUCCAACGGUGUUUUGGGGCAAAAAAGAGGGAUUUAGGUUCAAAAGUGACACUUUGGAUCCCAAAAUGAAGACCCACAACCCCAAAAACCCCAAAACCACCCCAAUUUGUGCCAUAAAUGGGCUCCAUUUA
ensembl:lncRNA